rnacentral:rRNA from 1 species
UACGAAGGUGGCAAGCGUUGUUCGGAUUCACUGGGCGUACAGGGUGUGUAGGCGGUUUUGGUAAGCCUUCUGUUAAAGCUUCGGGCCCAACCCCGGAAAGCGCAGAGGGUACUGCCAGGCUAGAGGACGGGAGAGGAGCGCGGAAUUCCCGGUGUAGCGGUGAAAAUGCGUAGAGAUCGGGAGGAAGGCCGGUGGCGAAGGCGGCAUCCUGGACCGGCAUUGACGCUGAGGAGCGAAAGCAUGGGUAGCAAAACAGG